rnacentral:rRNA from 1 species
UACGUAGGCAGCGAGCGUUGCUCGGAAUUACUGGGCGUAAAGCGCACGUAGGCGGCUUUCUAAGUCGGGGGUGAAAUCCUGGAGCUCAACUCCAGAACUGCCUUCGAUACUGGAGAGCUUGAGUCCGGGAGAGGUGAGUGGAACUGCGAGUGUAGAGGUGAAAUUCGUAGAUAUUCGCAAGAACACCAGUGGCGAAGGCGGCUCACUGGCCCGGUACUGACGCCGUGAGGU